GACGAACGCUGGCGGCGUGCUUAACACAUGCAAGUCGAACGGAAAGGCCCUGCCUUUGUGGGGUGCUCGAGUGGCGAACGGGUGAGUAACACGUGAGUAACCUGCCCUGGACUUUGGGAUAACUUCAGGAAACUGGGGCUAAUACCGGAUAGGAGCUCCUGCUGCAUGGUGUGGGUUGGAAAGUUUCGGCGGGUGGGGAGGGACUCGCGGCUUAUCAGCUUGUUGGGGGGGUAGUGGCUUACCAAGGCUUUGACGGGUAGCCGGCCUGAGAGGGUGACCGGCCACAUUGGGACUGAGAUACGGCCCAGACUCCUACGGGAGGCAGCAGUGGGGAAUAUUGCACAAUGGGCGGAAGCCUGAUGCAGCAACGCCGCGUGCGGGAUGACGGCCUUCGGGUUGUAAACCGCUUUCGCCUGUGACGAAGCGUGAGUGACGGUAAUGGGUAAAGAAGCACCGGCUAACUACGUG
rnacentral:rRNA from 1 species